GAGAAGCCUUUUCUUUUUUUCGCUGAGCUAAUUGUGGAAAGACAUGAUAGAUCUUAACAUCGGAAAAAAGCCAGAAGGUCUGCUGCAUAUGGCAAAAUUUAUCAUUUGAAGGCUAAGGAGAAAAAGUUAUCAACUGGUAAUAUGGCUGAUGUUCAAUAGUGAAGAGGUGAAGCUUAGCCUUGCAAACGCAAAAUUUGAUCUUACUUUUGAGUGGCGCAAAAGUUUCUUUUUCUAGGACGAUACAAGUGUAGCUACACUUAGCUUAGGAGGAAUUGCCCAUUCUUAAGCAGAAUUGUGAAGACAAAUUGGUAAUAUUUUUUAUACAUUAAUUUUGUUUUAUUUAAUGCAUUUAUUGAAUUAAUUCUUAGAUUGUGGCAAUUUUUUCUCUCAUUUCGUUAAAAGGAAGUCCAGAGUUUUAUCUUACUAAAACAUUCCCUCAACAAAGCGAAGGUAAUAAUUACACUACCUUAAAAGAUGUUUUAAAACAUU